UCGAUGGCUUUGUAUCCGAUCGCCACGAGUUUAGGAACGUCCGUCUAAAAAUAUCUUCUUAGAGGGAUCAAUGGCGAUAUGUAGCCGUACGAGAAAGAGCAAUAACAGGUCUGUGAUGCCCUUAGAUGUUCUGGGCAGCACGCGCGCUACAAUGUAGUGAUCAACGUGUGUUUAUUUCCCAUAUAAAACCAUUUCUGAAAAGAAUUGGCAACCCUUUCAAAGCCCUACUCGAUAGGGAUUGGGGAUUGUAAUUAUUUCCCAUAAACGAGGAAUUCCUAGUAAUCGCGAAUCAUUUAAUUCGUGCUGAUUACGUCCCUGCCCUUUGUACACACCGCCCGUCGCUACUACCGAUUGAAUGGUUCAGUGAGGCCAUUGGACUAUUACCUUAAGUUGAAUMAACUAUAUAGGUCGAUAGAAAGAUGUCCGAACUCGAUCAUUUAGAGGAAGUGA
rnacentral:rRNA from 1 species